rnacentral:RNase_P_RNA from 1 species
UGAGUCGGACAAGUGAUCGCGGCUGCAAAGCCGAAAGGCUGCAGGUGAGGAAAGUCCGGGCUUCAUAGGGCAGGGUGCCGGAUAACGUCCGGUGGAGGCGACUCCCAGACUAGUGCAACAGAAAUAUACCGCCGAUUGUGGUAAGGAGGGACCCGCGUAGCGGGAGGAUCCCUUAUCACUUACCCCUGGUAAGGAGGGACCCACGAAGUGGGAGGAUCCCUUAUCACUUACCCAACGGUAAGGGUGGAACGGCGAGGUAAGAGCUCACCGCUUGUCUGGUAACAGACAAGGCUCUGUAAACUCCACUCGAAGCAAGACCGAACAGAAAGCCAUACAGUGGCCCGCUGUGCUUUCGGGUAGGUUGCUGGAGCCGGCUGGUAACAGCCGGCCUAGAUAGAUGAUCACUCAACGACAUAACCCGGCUUAUCGUCCGACUCAUUCU